rnacentral:rRNA from 1 species
GACGAACGCUGGCGGCGUGCUUAACACAUGCAAGUCGAACGAUGAAGCCUAGCUUGCUAGGUGGAUUAGUGGCGAACGGGUGAGUAAUACGUGAGUAACCUACCUUUAACUCUGGGAUAAGCCUGGGAAACUGGGUCUAAUACCGGAUACGACCAAUCUCCGCAUGGGGUGUUGGUGGAAAGCGUUAUGUAGUGGUUAUAGAUGGGCUCACGGCCUAUCAGCUUGUUGGUGAGGUAACGGCUCACCAAGGCGACGACGGGUAGCCGGCCUGAGCGGGUGAGCGCCCACAGGGGGAAGAAGACACGACCCGGACGCCGACGGGGGGCGCGAGGGGGAAUUAUGGCCGAAGGGCCGAAAGCGUGAUGCCGCGGCGCGGGGGGGGGAAUGGCGCCCUUCGGUUUAAACACCUCUUGGAGCAGGAAAAAAGAGAGAUGGCGGUGCCCUGAGAAAAAGGCCCCGGCAAACUAGGUC